GGGUAACCUCUCUUGAUGGCGAGUGGCGAACGGGUGAGUAACGCGUAGGGAUCUGCCCUUGAGUGGGGGACAACCCGGGGAAACCCGGGCUAAUACCGCUUAAUUUCUGAGGAAUAAAGUGUGCCUCUGCUUGCAAGCACACGCUCGAGGAAGAACCUGCGUCUGAUUAGCUAGUUGGUAGGGUAAAGGCCUACCAAGGCGAUGAUCGGUAGCUGGUCUGAGAGGAUGAUCAGCCACACUGGGACUGAGACACGGCCCAGACUCCUACGGGAGGCAGCAGUGGGGAAUAUUGGACAAUGGGGGCAACCCUGAUCCAGCAAUGCCGCGUGUGUGAAGAAGGCCUGAGGGUUGUAAAGCACUUUCGGAGGGGAGGAAGGCAUUUUGUCGAAUAGGCGAAAUGAUUGACGUUACCUUCAGAAGAAGCACCGGCUAACUCUGUGCCAGCAGCCGCGGUAAUACAGAGGGUGCAAGCGUUAAUCGGAAUUACUGGGCGUAAAGGGUGCGUAGGUGGAUAAAUAAGUUAGACGUGAAAGCCCCGGGCUCAACCUGGGAUGGUCGUCUAAUACUGUUUAUCUAGAGUAUGGUAGAGGGUGGUAGAAUUUCCGGUGUAGCGGUGAAAUGCGUAGAUAUCGGAAGGAAUAUCAAUGGCGAAGGCAGCCACCUGGGCCAAUACUGACACUGAGGCACGAAAGCAUGGGGAGCAAACAGGAUUAGAUACCCUGGUA
rnacentral:rRNA from 1 species